UUGAGAAACCACGAGCGCUGGACAACACAGCUCUGUGGCCAGGCCUCAGAUGGCCUCACGGCUCCUGGGGACAUCAUUCACUUCUCAGGGUUGGUGGCUUUCCUCAGGGUCCCGUUUCUUGGCAAGGAGUAAGGACGUUCCUGGGCAAAAGAAAGGUGCUAGGACUCAAAACAGCAUCCUGCUGCACCCAGAGAACUUUGCGUUUAUCCAAAGCUAAUUGGACACCUGGAGAGUACGUGUGAACAGAAUUGCCUUACUAUUUUUAAAAUCGGUCUUCAAACCAAGUCCCAGAAGAGAGAAAGAACGUUGGGAACGACUGCCUGACGCUCAACAUCCACCUUGCCUGAUGAUCAGGGGUAUAUAAUCCUGACUACGCUACUAUCAUCCCGAUGUCCAGGCUGAUCACAGAACAAAUCCUCAUAGAUCUUUGCUUCUCAUGGUUGUCAUUUUCAUGCCAAACUCAGCCUGAUGACACUUGUGCUUUCUGGAACACUGAUGGACGUCAAGGCAGAGAGAGAACAGAGCACAUGAUGAAGGAUGCAUCGCCUCAUAGAUCGAUGCCUGGAAGUGUAACUUGUCGCUUUCACAUUUCAUUGGCCAAAGACAGGUUGCCCUGUGUGAGUUCAGGAAAUCGGGGAAAUAAAAUUCUACUGAGGGAGGACAGUGGCUACUGUUUUAUUCUGCCAAAAGAUAGAGGAACUAAGUCUUCUAGAUAGAAAAAUAUAGAUCAAUUUAUGAUAUUUAAGCGAAAAUUGAGUCACCUGGGUGGCUCAGGCAGUUAAGUGACUGACUCUUGAUUGCGGCUCAGGUCACGAUCUCACGGUUUGUGGGUUUGAGCCCUGCAAGGAGCUCCAUGAUGAGCGUGGAGCCUGCUUGGGAUUCUCUCUCCCUCUCUCUCUGCCCCUUCCCUGCUCGCAUACACUCUCUCUCUCUCCCUCUCUCAAUAUAAAUAAGUAAACUCAAAAAAAGAGUCAGCUUCUGACCCUCAGUUAAAGAAAAAAGCAAAAUAUCCCAGAAAUACGUGCAUGCAUACUGUUCCCUAACAA
rnacentral:lncRNA from 1 species